GACUGGUACCAAGGUGAAGGGUGAGCUGACCAAGAUGUAGAGUCGUUUCCUGUUUCCCCCCUUCUCACAGCUGCACUUGACUAGUCUUAA
rnacentral:Y_RNA from 1 species